CAAACAUGAGUGUGAUCUGCGUCCUCAUCUGGACUCUCCUCUGCUGCUGCUUCACAGAGUCCAGAGGACAGGUCACAGUGACUCAGCCUGGAGCAGUGAGCUCCAAUGUGGGAGGAUCUGUCUCCAUCUCAUGUACAACCAGUCACACAGUGAAUGGAGAUAACUUUUCUUGGUACCAACAGAAAGAUGGAGAAACUCCUAAACUCCUCAUUUAUGAUAUCAGCAACAGACAAUCAGGGACUCUAAGUCGUUUUACAGGCAGUGGAACAGUUAAUGGACAAGAUUUCACUCUGACCAUCAGCGGAGUUCAGGCUGAAGAUGCAGCAGUUUAUUACUGUAUGGGUGAAUUCAAGAUCAACAGCAAAUACUCGUUCACACAGUGAAAAACAGUCGUACA